rnacentral:tRNA from 1 species
GGUGCUGUGGCUUAGCGGGCAGGGCCACAGCCUGCAGUGCCGACAUCCCAUAUGGGCACUGGUUCGAGUCCAGGCUGCUCCA